AACGAACGCUGGCGGCAUGCCUAACACAUGCAAGUCGAACGAGACCUUCGGGUCUAGUGGCGCAUGGGUGCGUAACGCGUGGGAACCUGCCCUUAGGUUCGGAAUACCUCCCCGAAAGGGGUGCUAAUACCGGAUAAUGUCUUCGGACCAAAGAUUUAUCGCCUUUGGAUGGGCCCGCGUUGGAUUAGCUAGUUGGUAGGGUAAAAGCCUACCAAGGCGACGAUCCAUAGCUGGUCUGAGAGGAUGAUCAGCCACACUGGGACUGAGACACGGCCCAGACUCCUACGGGAGGCAGCAGUGGGGAAUAUUGGACAAUGGGCGAAAGCCUGAUCCAGCAAUGCCGCGUGAGUGAUGAAGGCCGUAGGGUUGUAAAGCUCUUUUACCCGGGAUGAUAAUGACAGUACCGAGAGAAUAAGCUCCGGCUAACUCCGUG
rnacentral:rRNA from 1 species